UACAGAGGUCUCAAGCGUUGUUCGGAUUCAUUGGGCGUAAAGGGUGCGUAGGCGGCUCAGUAAGUCGGGUGUGAAACCUCCAGGCUCAACCUGGAGACGCCACCCGAUACUGCUGUGGCUAGAGUCCAGUAGGGGAGUGUGGAAUUCCCGGUGUAGCGGUGAAAUGCGCAGAUAUCGGGAGGAACACCAGCGGCGAAGGCGGCACUCUGGGCUGGUACUGACGCUGAGGAGCGAAAGCGUGGGUAGCAAACAGG
rnacentral:rRNA from 1 species